rnacentral:rRNA from 1 species
UAAAUAGCCCACGUUGCUUCGGCAGCGCGCUGGCUUCUUAGAGGGACUAUCGGCUCAAGCCGAUGGAAGUUUGAGGCAAUAACAGGUCUGUGAUGCCCUUAGAUGUUCUGG